UUAACCACUCCUUAUACCCUGAAGACACAGAUUAGUUAUAGAGAGAGACAAAAUUAGCCGGGUAGAGAGAGCGGAGCGACGGUGAUGGAGGAACGGACGGUGGUCUCCGUCCGGCCACGGACCGGUGGUUUUGACGCAACAAACAACGGUAGAAUUUGACACACUCGCUUUUUAGAAUCCAGAUGAGGGUUGUUUUUAGAGAAAGGGGCGUUCACCUGCUGUUACGGGUGAUGUUCCGGCCAUGACGGCGGCGGAUCUGUGUACCAAGUCACCACCGUCGUUCACCAUCUCCACCACCCUCAUCUUCAAAAUUCGUCCAAACUUCAGCAACCAACUUCGUGCACAAAAAAAAAUCCGAUUUAUCUCUCAUUCAAAUCAGUGAUGGCGAUAAAUAAGCAAUCAGUGGUAAAUUCUUUCAUUAUGAUCAUUCUCUCUGUAUUUCGAUCUGCUUUAUUAUGAUUUUCGUUCACCUCUUUUGCUAUUUCUAGGGUUUCAUCAUCUAAUUUGUGAAAUUUGAGCAUACAACCGUUAGUUGUUUGUUAAACUACUUUAUGAUGUUAAUAGGUGUAGAAUGGAUUGAUUUUUGUUGAAAUAGGUUGUGUAUAAUUUCUCCGUUUACUGAAUCAUGAAUAGGUUUUGUUCACCUGCAAUUGUUGUGAGAGUUUAAAUAAGUAGUUAUGGAGCCCUAGCUCUUUGAAUUAGAGGUUGUUUAGGUUUUUUUUUUUUGAAAUAUGUUGAUUUUUUUUAUUUAGAUUGAGUUUUCCAGACUUAUAGAAUUAUGAUCAUUGUUUGAAGUGAAAUAUAUCUCUUUAGCACCAGCUAGGUCCUUAUACAAACUCAUAAGUUAGAAAAAAAGAGCUUUUCCUUUUUGGUCUGUUGUGCUUUGAACAUUUAGUUCUUUUCAUUGAUACUUUUAACAAUUAAAUCACAUCUCAGACCAAUUAAUAAACCUUUUUUCUAACAGCAAACCAGUUGAUAAACUGUCGCAACAUACUCUGCUACAAAUUGAUAUGAUACACUACAAAAGACUAUUCUUUGAAUCAUCACUUUUAAAAUUUUUUCUGCAUUCUGAUAAUCCCCUUUGAUUUGAUGAGACUACCCCACAUUUACUUCAACACCCAUGUUGAAGAAAAUCUUUAACGGCCAUGCCACUCUGCUCGACAAGGAAUUGCGUUCGUCACGCACUUUCUGGAACGACUUUUUUCAGGUUUUUGAUUUGUGGGUUUUUUUUUGUUUGGGUUGUUUAAGUGUGGCGGAUUUACUUUAAUGGGUUGUUGAUUGCUUGCAAUUGUAACACUAACUUCACUUUCUUAAACUCAACGUCAAAGGUCUUUAACAUGCCAAAUAUAUGCAGGUUAGGUUUCUCAAUUUUCAUUCGUCUCCGCACUUCAGUUCAAUCUUCUUACAAUUUUGCUUUUGAUCGUUGUUGCACUUGCAUAAAUUUCUAACCUGAAUUGAUUGAUACUUAGGGUAUGUACAGAAGCUCCUUAGAAGCUAAGGCGAGGUCGUUGAUGUUACCUUAAUCUCGCACAAUCUUAACAGAGUUGGUAUAAGUUACCUUGAAGACGUCUUUGUUGCUUAUCAUGUUAUCGGAUCCUCGAGGAACGAGGUUCAGAUAUUAGAACUUCCCACCUAGGGCUGAAAGACGUGUUUGGUAAAUUUCGCUCUUUAGCACCGAUUUACUGGUCUCAUAUUUCUUAUUAUCAUAACCAAGUUUGUAUCUUUGUUCAUAAAUCAUGUUACAUUAUCUUUAUUUUGGUUCCUAGCUAACUCAACUUAGAAGCAGGUGUAUGGAUUUCACAUUUGUUCAAAUCUCAGCCUAAAAAAAAUGAAAGCCUCUGUUACAAAUGUGUAUGGAUUUCACAUUUGUUCAAAUCUCAGCCUACAAAAAAAAAAAAAAAAGAUGAAAGCCUCUAUUACAAAUCUCUUCUUCAAUGGUAUGAGGGAAUUAGAGUUGCCACAUGCAUGUAACAUUGUGGAUAAAGGAACAUGGAAGCUGCCUGGUGACAUGUUUGAGGGGGCUUAAUCUAUAUGAUAUUACAGUCAUUCAAUGACAAAUCUAGAUAUGACGCGAGAAUCUGCACUACUCUAUCUUGAUGUUUGAUUGAGUGUUUUAAUGGCAAACCAUUCAAUAUCUCAAAUUACAUACUAUUUUCUCUGAUGAACCAUUGUGCACGUGUGUAAUCGGGGCUAUAUUCAACAAUAUUUUUUUGUUGUUUUGCUUUUUUCUAUUUUUUGAUCAGUUAUUCUC